CAUAGAUGCCGGAUCAAAUAUUUAUAACGCACUGUGCGCGGCGUUGGGCUGCUACAGUUCAGCAAAGCCAUUAAUAAUAAAGUGGAUGGAAAUGCACGAGUUACCGACAUGCCUAGCAAAGCCAUUUAUAAUGAAAUGUAAAAUUUGGCUGUGGGAAGCAGCCCACCAGCCCCAGCCGCAGCACCGGCCAGGAUCUCCUGGAGGCUGGGGAAGGAGCGGUGUCGUGAAUUAUUUGUGAGGUGUUCAGACGAGAAUGUAUACUCCCCAUAGCACACCAUAUAAAUAUGCUAUUAAUAUACCCAAGGUGGCAUGCAUUAUUCAUGGAGCCUAAUUAAUUAAUGGGUGGCCCCUUAAAAUGGGGUGUCACAGCUUCCAGCUCCCUGUCCUGCCGGGGGCAGUAGGGAUGGCAUUGGUUGAUGGCAGCCUUGGGGGUGGGGAGGGCAACGUCCCUUCCACGCUCUGCAGGGGGGCUGACGUGGUGCCCCACAACCGUCCACAGGGGUCCUGUGGGCAAGUCAGUUUGGGAACCACUGUGCAGUGUGUCCUCUCCCUGGAAGAGUGGAGGUGCGUAUCAGGUGAUGAAGGCUCUGAGAAGUCCCGCGGGAAACACCACUCGGCCAGGACACCUCCCUUGGUUCUCUCUCACGCCCUCUGCAUUCCCGAACCGCCUCCGCCUCCCAGACUCAAGGAUCCGAUUCUGUUCCAGCUUGGCCCAGCAGCCUUGGUCAGCUCUUCCGGUUCUCCUAACCGUUGCCCUGGGAGUCAAGAAAACCCGGUGCCAGGACCGGCUCCGGCUGUGCUGGCACGAUAUCCCCUGACAUCCGCAGCUCAAAGUGGAAAAUUGGAACUACCC
rnacentral:lncRNA from 1 species